rnacentral:rRNA from 1 species
CCUACGGGAGGCAGCAGUGGGGAAUAUUGCACAAUGGGGGAAACCCUGAUGCAGCGACGCCGCGUGAGUGAAGAAGUAUUUCGGUAUGUAAAGCUCUAUCAGCAGGGAAGAAAAACCGACCAUAGGGUCGCUAGACGGUACCUGAUUAAGAAGCCCCGGCUAACUACGUGCCAGCAGCCGCGGUAAU